rnacentral:rRNA from 1 species
UUAAAUUGAAGAGUUUGAUCAUGGCUCAGAUUGAACGCUGGCGGCAGGCCUAACACAUGCAAGUCGAACGGUAACAGAAAGCAGCUUGCUGCUUUCUG